AUUAUUGAAAGGUGCUUGCAUCUUGAUUUAAGGGUGAACGAGUGGCGGACGGGUGAGUAACACGUGGGUAACCUGCCCUUAAGUGGGGGAUAACAUUUGGAAACAGAUGCUAAUACCGCAUAAAUCCAAGAACCGCAUGGUUCUUGGCUGAAAGAUGGCGUAAGCUAUCGCUUUUGGAUGGACCCGCGGCGUAUUAGCUAGUUGGUGAGGUAACGGCUCACCAAGGCAAUGAUACGUAGCCGAACUGAGAGGUUGAUCGGCCACAUUGGGACUGAGACACGGCCCAAACUCCUACGGGAGGCAGCAGUAGGGAAUCUUCCACAAUGGACGCAAGUCUGAUGGAGCAACGCCGCGUGAGUGAAGAAGGCUUUCGGGUCGUAAAACUCUGUUGUUGGAGAAGAAUGGUCGGCAGAGUAACUGUUGUCGGCGUGACGGUAUCCAACCAGAAAGCCACGGCUAACUACGUGCCAGCAGCCGCGGUAAUACGUAGGUGGCAAGCGUUAUCCGGAUUUAUUGGGCGUAAACGCGAGCGCAGGCGGUUUUUUAAGUCUGAUGUGAAAGCCCUCGGCUUAACCGAGGAAGUGCAUUCGGAACUGGGACACUUGAGUGCAGAAGAGGACAGUGGAACUCCAUGUGUAGCGGUGAAAUGCGUAGAUAUAUGGAAGAACACCAGUGGCGAAGGCGGCUGUCUGGUCU
rnacentral:rRNA from 1 species